CCUACGGGUGGCUGCAGUGGGGAAUAUUGGACAAUGGGGGCAACCCUGAUCCAGCCAUGCCGCGUGUGUGAAGAAGGCCCUCGGGUUGUAAAGCACUUUCAGUGAGGAAGAACGCCUGGUGGUUAAUACCCAUCAGGAAAGACAUCACUCACAGAAGAAGCACCGGCUAACUCCGUGCCAGCAGCCGCGGUAAUACGGAGGGUGCGAGCGUUAAUCGGAAUUACUGGGCGUAAAGCGCGCGUAGGUGGCUUGAUAAGCCGGUUGUGAAAGCCCCGGGCUCAACCUGGGAACGGCAUCCGGAACUGUCAAGCUAGAGUGCAGGAGAGGAAGGUAGAAUUCCCGGUGUAGCGGUGAAAUGCGUAGAGAUCGGGAGGAAUACCAGUGGCGAAGGCGGCCUUCUGGACUAACACUGACACUGAGGUGCGAAAGCGUGGGUAGCAAACAGGAUUAGAUACCCUUGUAGUC
rnacentral:rRNA from 1 species